rnacentral:rRNA from 1 species
UACGGGGGGGGCAAGCGUUGUUCGGAAUUACUGGGCGUAAAGGGCUCGUAGGCGGCCAACUAAGUCGGAUGUGAAAUCCCCAGGCUUAACUUGGGAACUGCAUCCGAUACUGGAUGGCUUGAAUCCGGGAGAGGGAUGCGGAAUUCCAGGUGUAGCGGUGAAAUGCGUAGAUAUCUGGAGGAACACCGGUGGCGAAGGCGGCAUCCUGGACCGGCAUUGACGCUGAUGAGCGAAAGCCGGGGAGCAAAACGGGG